rnacentral:rRNA from 1 species
GACGAACGCUGGCGGCGUGCUUAACACAUGCAAGUCGAACGGAAAGGCCCUGCUUUUGUGGGGUGCUCGAGUGGCGAACGGGUGAGUAACACGUGAGUAACCUGCCCUUGACUUUGGGAUAACUUCAGGAAACUGGGGCUAAUACCGGAUAGGAGCUCCUGCUGCAUGGUGGGGGUUGGAAAGUUUCGGCGGUUGGGGAUGGACUCGCGGCUUAUCAGCUUGUUGGUGGGGUAGUGGCUUACCAAGGCUUUGACGGGUAGCCGGCCUGAGAGGGUGACCGGCCACAUUGGGACUGAGAUACGGCCCAGACGCCUACGGGAGGCAGCAGUGGGGAAUAUUGCACAGUGGGCGGAAGCCUGAUGCAGAAACGCCGCGUGCGGGAUGACGGUCUUCGGGUUGUAAACCGCUUUCGCCUGUGACGAAGCGUGAGUGACGGUAAUGGGUAAAGAAGCACCGGCUAACUACGUG